CGGCUGCUUGGUGAUGGCGCUGCCCUCGGGCACCAGAAACCCCGAGAGGGUGGCCGCGCGAGGCUUGGGCGCCGGCGGCCGCGGCCCAAACAUCCGCUCCGACGCCGCGCGGAACGCGGCCAGCCUAGCCAUGAGCGCAUGCGCGUCAAAGUGGCCGUCAGACUCGGCAAGCGACAGGCCCGUGCAGAUGCCGCUGCCGGGUCCCUUGGCCAGACCAACGGUCCAACCGCUAAAGUGAAUGUCGGGAUCGAGGCCGGCCGCGCGACACAACUCGUGGAUGGUGCCAAAGGGGGUGCGCGCGUCGUCGGUCAUGGCGCCGUGGAACUUGGAGCCGCGCGGCGAGCACCAUUGGACGCAAGCGACGGCCUUGGCGCCGCCCGGCGGCCACAGCAACAGGUCGAGGUCCACGUAGCCGCCCUCUUUGCGCUUGUCACGACCCUCCCCGUCGCGGGCGCUGUUGGUGCAGCCGCUGCCGACAGAGGCGGUGUCGGCGCUUGGCGGCCGUAUCGUGUCGGGAUCGGUGUCUACUGGGUACUCCAUGCCGAUGGCGAGGUCUUUGCGCGAGCGGCGACCAAAGGAAAAAAGAAAAAAAUAGACGAAGGAAAAAAGGGGUCCAACGUAGAGAGGCAAAAAGUUCUCCCCGUCGGGUCCGACCACAAGGGCAACAAAAGAAAAGAGAUCUAGACUGUCCGCCGCUGUUUGUCUGUCUG
rnacentral:lncRNA from 1 species